rnacentral:rRNA from 1 species
UACGUAGGGUGCGAGCGUUGUCCGGAAUUACUGGGCGUAAAGAGCUUGUAGGCGGUUUGUCGCGUCGUCCGUGAAAACUUGGGGCUCAACCCCAAGCUUGCGGGCGAUACGGGCAGACUUGAGUACUGCAGGGGAGACUGGAAUUCCUGGUGUAGCGGUGAAAUGCGCAGAUAUCAGGAGGAACACCGGUGGCGAAGGCGGGUCUCUGGGCAGUAACUGACGCUGAGAAGCGAAAGCGUGGGUAGCGAACAGG